rnacentral:lncRNA from 1 species
AGGAUGGCUAAUUUACUACGGCUCUUAGCUUUUCAACUCUUUAAAGCCCCAACAUUUCAUCAUAAAACAUUAAACAAGAGGGACAUUCCUGUGUUGCAAUGGCAGCCACUCCAGGGACAGCAGCUGAAUAUUGACUGUUUUGAGCAGAAAUGUGACACGGAAGGUGAUGACCAGCAGCAAGUGAGGGCAGCCAGGGAUACCUGGAGGAUUUUCAUGCUCAGACCUCUCUACCUUACAGGCAGCAAGGUGCUAGCAGGAAAGUGGAGGAUCCAGAGGAGGCCCCUGCUCCCCAAAGGGCAGGGGCCUGCGAGCGCCCACUUGGGGUCGGGAGCCAUCCCUGCAGCUGGGUGGGCAGGAGACCUUAGGAGCUGCUUUUCCUAACCUCCUCACCCCUUCCAGGUUUACCUGUGAAAACACUGAGGUCAGGAGAAUGAAGAGACUGACAUUUUUUAGCAUUUGUGUUUUAAAAUUUUGGGGAGAAAAUAUUCUAGUAAUUUCCUUCAACAUCAAUUUAAGUACAGGAAGGGAGAAAGGAACGGUAUCCUUAAUAGUUUUUCCUCUCAAAUUAGUGCUGGGGUUGAGAGGAACCUACUUAACAUCCCCAUCUCUAUCCCAGGGUCACAAGCAAGGCGUGCUACCACACGGCUGGAGUGGGGCAUGUGAAGACUGUAGAGAUGAAUUCCGCCUUGGGAUAAGCAUGUGCUGUCAAGCCAAUAUUUUCCAAGUACCUCUGGGAGGCAGGCCUGUCCCUCCCCUGUGGCCCCAGCAGGGGGCAUUGCAGCCCCUCUGAGGCCAAGAGGACUACUCCCCCCUCCUCCCCCUUGGACCCAGGUCCAGUCCUGGCCAGGGCCCAGCUGGGUCAUGCUCAUCUCCCAGACUCAGGCUGCCAGCCCUCUACCCACUCCAGGGCAUGAAGCCACGGCUGGAGGACACAGGGAGCCAUGGAGAAAAAAACAAGAAAGGUUUAUUUAAAUCAGAGAGCCUCUGAAGGCACCUGGUUU